CCAGGGCGCUAAGAGGGUUGCACAGGCCUGGGGUGUGCGCUUAGCCCCCCUCGGUGUGGAAGAAAGAUACACCUUUCUACCUCUGGGACUUGAGUCUGUUGGGGCCGCGGAGGGAGGAGCUGCCCCGGGUACCCGAGGCGGGAGGCGCCGACGUCUAAGAAGGGAGAUAUUUUUGUCCCCCGGAGAGUCCCUCGGGAGCGUGAGGAUGCCAGCCUGCCAGCCUGCCGCGGAGUCCGCCUUUCGUAGUGCCCCGACCCGAAACUCAGACUUCUUUCUAAGAGCCACGCCACCAAUGUAACUUUGAGUCCCGGAGGUCAAUGGUGGGGUACCUCCUCCCGGUCUUCAUUCUUUUACUUCCCUUCGGAUCGUAGCUAGAGCUGAGAGGUUUCGAGGAGGCCUGUCCGUGGGUGUCGGGUGGAGAAACGUCUCAAACUGAUUCAGGCCCUGUCCCCAAUCCUCUGCCACCCCGCGGUAUCCCCGCAGGUUUGGUAGCCAGAGUUCCGAAUAGAUAGGAACGCCGAGCGGGGACUGACCUGCGUUGGGGAAGCGGAGGGAAGGAGCGAGACAGGGAGGGGCCGGCUGCCCGUAGGAACGGGGGUCUUCCAGGGAAGCGGAGCGGGACUGCCGCGUUCCCCUCGAUUUGCACUGUCACUCGGGCGAUUUGGAAGGAAGAGGGGAGGCGCUGUGCGUGCCUCUGUGUACCUGGAGCUGGGUGCACAAGUCUGUGUGCACGUCUGUGCCGCCGUGUGAGUUGUCAGGGCUGUGGGAGCGUCCGGAGCGAGUUCGGGGGUCGCCUCCAGAAACUCGCAGAAACUGGAAGGGGGCGAGAGGAAGGCACAUCUCCUUCCUCAGAAGGACUUGGACGACUUUGAAUCUCCCCUCCCCCACUUUUCCGCCCUGGCUCUUCUUUUGUUGUCAAGUCCUUUGAUAAAUGGUGGGGCAGGGAGAGCGGGGAGCCAGGAACCCGUCUCUACCCGCGCGGGGGGCAAGGGCCGGGUCUGGAGACCCGUUUUCCACCGGCGCUGAGCUCCAAACCGCGGGGGUCGGGUCUGGGACCUGCCCUCCGCAGACUCGCCCUCUCCUGUCUCACCACCCCAUUCCCUUCUCUCCCUUUUUUGUCUCUCUCCCACUUUACACAGGUUGGUAAACUUCAUGGGAUUGUAACUUGACUAAAGAUAAUUAGGAGAAGAGCGAAGUGAGGCGGCGUGUUUUUUGGGCUGUUGUUUGUCGAUGUGUGUAUGUGUGCGUGUGUGUAGCUGUAAGAACACACCUGCGUUCAAGGAGAUUUGGAGUGUCUGCCUAUGCGACAACUGAGGAAGAAUCGACGGGAUUUCUCUGCGGUUUGCGCUCACUACAGCCGAAUAAAUUCAGCUCUCAGGCAUGCACCAGGAAACGGCUCCCGGUUCGAGUGUACGCAGAUGCAUCGGCCCAGCGCGGGACUCGGGGUGGCUCCCGGUGAUCACGCGGCUGCGCUGGACUAUCAACGCUCUGAGGCCGGGAGCUGCCCCUCGUUUCCCGGCAGGCCAGGCAGCGCCCCCAACCCUGGUGGUGCUUCGGGGCUAGCCUGGCCGAGUCCGCCCACGGCGAAAACUGAAAGCAAAUUUCGCGGCAAAUGAAGCCCGAACUUUCUUCGAAGCAAGUUUGCCACAAUGAUUCGGUGGUGAUUUAGGGAGGACUGCGCGCUGGUAAGUGCGCGCGCAAGGUGUGGGCGGUGGGCAAAGGCGGCUUGCGGCAGCCGAGCCUGGCCCGAGGCGAAUAGCUAGGAAAGGCGCCUCCCCUUCCUAUUUCUCGCCAACUCCUCGGCCCCUGUCCGUAAGAAUAGUUUCCAAGGUGUCCCGGACGCCCAGGAUGUGUUAGGGCGGAUCGUACCAGGGAGAAGGAAGCUUUGUAAAAGUUGCGGAAAGAGCAUCCGCCAAGCAAGGCUCAAGGAAGCUUGAAAACAGCUCGCCUUCCCCGGAGAAUGCCCAGACAUCGGCUUGGGAACCCCCCAGCCCAGUCCUCUCCCCUCACCUCGAACCCGCACGUAAAUAACCUCUCGCAGCCUGCGCUGGAAACUUAAGCGCGGCGCUGCGGUUAGCGGGCGAGGCCCCGGUGUUGAGCGGGCCCGCAACGCAGUUCCCGGCGGGCUCAGCCCUAGCCCCUAAAAGAGGCUUGCACUGAGGUGAGAGGACGAGUUUGACUUCAGCUGUCGUUCGGCUGCCUGGACCUUCACCACCGAUCUCCCAACUCCCCGGAGCGGGCGCUUCCCCCCUGGGAGCGGAGGCCUUGGGGGGCUGGUGAGGGCGCACAGUGCGCGCGCGGGCCGGCGCAGGGGUGGGGGGUGGCUGCCGUUCUCUCAGCCCGGCCUGUCGCCGGCCCGGCCGCGGCGGGUGAGUGAUGAGGGCAGAGAAGGGCGCCCAUAAAUCGCGGGUGUCAGGGCGAAAAACUCUCUUUAUUGUCUGAGUGAUGGAUGGGCCCGGGGACGAGACACCAAAUACUUCGUAUCGCCUUUAAAUGGGAACACAUUUUCCGCGGCCAUAAUUCAUGUUUUUUAAAUAGAAAGUUUGAAAUGUUGCCUAUAUUUCACCGGCCCUGACAUAUUUAUGAAUCGCUCCCUGCAUGCAAAUAUCAUUAUUUAAAGCGCCGGGGAGAGCUGGGGGGGGGGGAGGGGAGGAGGCAUGGCCCCCUCGGCGUGGGGUUGGUGAACCGGGAAAAUGCGAAGGAGAGGGGGGGGCCUCUCCCUAAAGUGCGGACAAUGAGGCGCAGGGGGGAAAAGCCGUAUCCGGAAGCCGAACACACCGGGGGCCUCCCCUCCAGCCGCUGGACCCAGCACUGCAGCUCCGGGAAGUUUGCGCCGCUCGGGACCGAGGACAGACCCCCGCCUCCUGCAGGGAGACCCGGGGCAUUUUGCUUCCCUCUUCGAGGCCCGGAUCCGAGCCAAAGCCACUUUUUGCAAGAAGGAAAAAAAACAUACAAAUAAAAGAAUUUAACGCAAA